rnacentral:tRNA from 1 species
GCUUCAUUGGCUCAGCUGGUAGAGCGUCAGUCUCAUAAUCUGAAGGUCGUGAGUUCGAGCCUCACAUGGAGCA